rnacentral:rRNA from 1 species
GGGGGGGGGGGGGGGGGGGCGGGGGGGGGGGGGGGGGGGCGGAGGGGGGCGGGGGGGGGGGGGGGGUGGUGUGGCGAAGGGGGGAGAAACACGGGGGUAAGGGGCCCGUGAGGGGGGGAUGAGGGGAGGAAAGGAGGGAGAAUAGAGAAGAGGGACUGGUGCUGCUGGGAAGGGGGGGGAAAGUUUCGGCGGUUGGGGAUGGACUCGCGGCUUAUCAGCUUGUUGGUGGGUUAGUGGCUUACCAAGGCUUUGACGGGUAGCCGGCCUGAGAGGGUGACCGGCCACAUUGGGACUGAGAUACGGCCCAGACUCCUACGGGAGGCAGCAGUGGGGAAUAUUGCACAAUGGGCGGAAGCCUGAUGCAGCAACGCCGCGUGCGGGAUGACGGCCUUCGGGUUGUAAACCGCUUUCGCCUGUGACGAAGCGUGAGUGACGGUAAUGGGUAAAGAAGCACCGGCUAACUACGUG